rnacentral:rRNA from 1 species
GACGAACGCUGGCGGCGUGCUUAACACAUGCAAGUCGAACGGAAAGGCCCUGCUUUUGUGGGGUUCUCGAGUGGCGAACGGGUGAGUAACACGUGAGUAACCUUCCCUUGACUUUGGGAUAACUUCCGGAAACUGGGGCUAAUACCGGAUAGAUGCUCCUGCUGCAUGGUGGGGGUUGGAAAGUUUCGGCGGUUGGGGAUGGACUCGCGGCUUAUCAGCUUGUUGGUGGGGUAGUGGCUUACCAAGGCUUUGACGGGUAGCCGGCCUGAGAGGGUGACCGGCGACAUUGGGACUGAGAUACGGCGCAGACUCCUACGGGAGGCAGCAGUGGGGAAUAUUGCACAAUGGGCGGAAGCCUGAUGCAGCAACGCCGCGUGCGUGAUGACGGCCUUCGGGGUGUAAACCGCUUUCGCCUGUGACGAAGCGUGAGUGACGGUAAUGGGUAAAGAAGCACCGGCUAACUACGUG